rnacentral:rRNA from 1 species
GAUGAACGCUGGCGGCGUGCUUAACACAUGCAAGUCGAACGGAAAGGCCCAAGCUUGCUUGGGUACUCGAGUGGCGAACGGGUGAGUAACACGUGGGGGAUCUGCCCUGCACUUCGGGAUAAGCCUGGGUAACUGGGUCUAAUACCGGAUAGGACCACAUUUUGGAUGGUGUGGUGGAAAGUUUUUCGGGGUGGGCUGAGCUCGCAGCCUAUCAGCUUGUUGUUGGGGUAAUGGUCUAACAAGGCGUCGACGGGUAGCCGGCCUGUGGGGGUGUACGGCCAAAUUGGGAAUGAGAAACGGCCCAGACUCCUACGGGAGGCAGCAGUGGGGAAUAUUGCACAAUGGGCGCAAGCCUGAUGCAGCGAGGCCGCGGGGGGGAGGACGGCCUUCGGGUUGUAAACUCCUUUCGCUAGGGACGAAGCGUUAUGUGACGGUACCUGGAGAAGAAGCACCGGCUAACUACGUG